rnacentral:rRNA from 1 species
UACGGGGGGGGCAAGCGUUGUUCGGAAUUACUGGGCGUAAAGGGCUCGUAGGCGGCCAACUAAGUCGGAUGUGAAAUCCCCAGGCUUAACCGGGGAACUGCGUCUGAUACUGGAUGGCUUGAGAUUGGGAGAGGGAUGCGGAAUUCCAGGUGUAGCGGUGAAAUGCGUAGAUAUCUGGAGGAACACCGGUGGCGAAGGCGGCGUCCUGGACCAACACUGACACUGAGGAGCGAAAGCCAGGGGAGCAAACGGG